GUGACAGCCACAGCUUACCUCAUCAUUGUCAGGAAGAGGCACAAGGCUUUAUUCAACCCCUCUGUCAGCAUUGAUGCAAGCAGCCUGGUGGUCAAUGCAGACAGGACAGGAACAGGAAGAGAACAGGACCUGGUUUAUUCUGAGAUCGUCAGAUUCAACAUUGCCAAGAGCAAAGCACAUGACCCAUCUGGAGAAGACCAGAAAGAUGCAGACGUCAAGCCAGCUGAGGAUGUCACCUACUCUGCAGUGGCAGUGGGGAACCAGCAUCCUUCAAGGGAAGACACAGUUUACUCUCAGGUGGUGAAAAAGGACUGGGACAUAGAUGAUGUAUGGACUGUCUAAGCACAAUAACAGAAAAGGGCUAACCAGACAUCCUUUACAUUCAUAUACAUUUAACUGAAGUUCUUUUAUUGGUAUUGGAUUCUGGGCUA